rnacentral:lncRNA from 1 species
UGUGAGGCUUCAGCCAACACACCCUAACGCCCCGCUGCCCGCACAUGCACCCCGCUGCCCGCAUACCCCACCCACGCGGUGCCCGCACACCUCUCCCUCUCUCUCUCUCUCUCUCUCUCUCUCUCUCUCUCUCUCUCUCUCUCUCUCCGACGAGCACCUUCUCCCUACACUUGCGCCGGCAGCACACUGCCUCCCCACGCUUGCACCCGCACCCCACUGCCUCCCCCACGCUUGCACACCCCAGCCAUGGCGAAUAGGGUGGCGGAGGCGGCGGAUUUGACGGAUCCGGAUGCGGCGACGGUGGCGACAACGGAUUAGGAUGCGACGGCGGUGGAUCUGGCGACAGUGGCGGUGGAUCCGGUGGAUCCAACUAUGGUGGCAGUAGAUCCACGCCAGGUAGGCCUCCUCUAUCGUCUCUUCCAACUCCGACAAGCUCUCAAUUGUUAGCAUAUUUGAAGAGUUGGUUUUUCUAGAUGCAUAGUUUUUAUUAUCAGAAAUGCUAAAAUGAAAACACACAGGAUGGAAGGCUUCAGCUAGCACACCCCAGCACACACUGACGCCCGCAGCCUGCACACCUCGCUGCCCGCAUACCCCACCAACACGAUGCCUGCACACCUCUCUCACACUCUCUCCGACGAGCACCUUCCCGGCAACCUCCUCCUCAUGCUGGCGCCACACCGCCUCCCCACGCUUGCGUCCGCAACCCACUGCCUCCCCCACGCUCGCACUCACGCCAGCCAUGGUAGAUGCGGCGGCAGAGGCGGCGGAUCUCACGGAUCUGGAUGCGGUGACAACGACGGCAGCGGUGGAUCCGGUGGAUCUGGCUAUGGUGGCGACCGAUCCGGUGGAUCCGGCUACGGUGGCAAUGGAUCCGCGCCAGGUAGGUCUCCUCCCCUUAGAUCUUAUAUCUAGGGUUCUAGUGAGCUCUGCCUGUCAUCUCUUCCAACUUCGGCGGGCUAUAGAAUGGCCGAAUAGGGGAAGCAGGUAGGCCAGGCAGUGGGGAAUGCUGGCGGGUAAUUUAGGGGAGCUGGCAACUGUAGUGGGGACUGGUUGGGCCAGGUCUGGCGGGGGAGCUCCGACCAUGGUUGCAGCGGGAGGGAGGGAGGGAGGGAAAGGAGAUGGUCGCGACCAUGGAGCUUCAGUGAAACCCUAGCUCACAGCCAAGUGGUGCCGGUAGCAGGGGUGAGGGCACCGAAUUGGAGGAAGAAGAGGUGUUGUACGUGUUUUUUUUGCAACUAAAAACUAUUGCGAAGGGGUGAAUGCGGAAGUUGCAAAUCCUGCACAUGCACGCCGUAGCAGCGCUCUUUUAUUUUAUAUCUAGACAUAAUAUAUAUCUAGAUGUAUAGAAAAAAAAAAUAGAUAUCUAUAAAUGACAGAACGAGUUAAAACUUGGAAUGAAGAAGGUAUUUCAAAAGAAUCCAUGCUUCUUAGGAGAGGGUCCUAAAAUUUACAUGGCUAGUCUGUUCAUUGGUCUGAAAAUAUUGUUUGCUGAUUUAUUGUAAGAGAAAAACAUUAUUGGUUGACAGAAAAAAUAUGACUGAUAAGAUAAGCGAACGGGUAGAGCUCAUAUGUUAGCCAAGUAGGUCACGGGUGAUGCAACGCCCGAGUGGUGGCAAGAGUGCUCGUAUAACCUGAUGGCUGCAGAAUGUAACCCCGUAUCUACUUAAUGGAUGAAUCCCCGAGGUUCAAAACAAAAAGAAAUUAACAUCGCCAACAGCCAACAGAGUAUCAUGAUGUAGACAUAAUAACUAUAGAAGUAAACGACCACGAUGCAUAUUGCGCGUAGAAGUAAUUUGUACGGUUCUCUUCAACUCGCACGUCAAGUUUAUUUAGCCUUUUGCAUCACUGCCAUCCAUGUCUGGAUCAUUAACUCACCCACGCAUGUAUACGUAUGUCCUUGCAUCAUCACUGGAUGGAUGAUCAUGUUCCCCUCAAACGUGGGCCAAUAGGCCUUACUAAAC